rnacentral:rRNA from 1 species
GAUGAACGCUGGCGGCGUGCUUAACACAUGCAAGUCGAACGAGAAGUGGAGACGGAAACCUUCGGGCGGAAGACUUUAUUUCGAGUGGCGGACGGGUGAGUAACGCGUGGGUAACCUGCCUCAUACAGGGGGAUAACAGUUGGAAACGACUGUUAAUACCGCAUAAGACCACAGCACCGCAUGGUGCGGGGGUAAAAACUCCGGUGGUAUGAGAUGGACCCGCGUUCGAUUAGCCAGUUGGCGGGGUAACGGCCCACCACAGCGACGAUCGAUAGCCGAUCUGAGAGGAUGACCGGCCACAUUGGGACUGAGACACGGCCCAGACUCCUACGGGAGGCAGCAGUGGGGAAUAUUGCACAAUGGGGGAAACCCUGAUGCAGCGACGCCGCGUGAGUGAAGAAGUAUUUCGGUAUGUAAAGCUCUAUCAGCAGGGAAGAAAAUGACGGUACCUGAGUAAGAAGCCCCGGCUAACUACGUG